rnacentral:rRNA from 1 species
CGUAGGUGGCAAGCGUUGUCCGGAUUUAUGGGUUUAAAGGGUGCGUAGGCGGUUCCAUAAGUCAGUGGUGAAAUCCGGCAGCUUAACUGUCGAUGUGCCAUUGAUACUGCGGAACUUGAGUACAGACGAGGUAGGCGGAAUUGACGGUGUAGCGGUGAAAUGCUUAGAUAUCGUCAAGAACACCGAUAGCGAAGGCAGCUUACUAGACUGUAACUGACGCUGAUGCACGAAAGUGUGGGGAUCAAACAGGAUUAGAUACCCUGGUAGUCCACACUGUAAACGAUGAUUACUCGAUGUUGGCGAUACACAGCCAGCGUCUUAGCAAAAGCGAUAAGUAAUCCACCUGGGGAGUACGCCGGCAACGGUG